UUGUUGUUUAAUUUUUCUUAAUUUAAUUGUUUUUUUCUCGUUAAUUUGUUAAUUUCUCUAAUUUCUAAUUAGUCUUCUUCUUCUUCUCCUGGUGUAACUGUUAAAGUUUAGACUUUAAUCUGGUUGGUCAGUUUUUCUUUUAUUAGAGACAAUCAAUUGAUUAUUUUUCCACCUUUGGUUAAUCAAUAUUCAAUUAGAUUGUCCACUAUUUUAGAUUCAUCUUGUGAAGUGCAAUCUUCUGGUCGGUUAUUUUUUUUUCCUUCUUCUUUUUGGACAAUCAACUCUUUUCAUUUGGAGAUCAGUGUUGGGAUGAGACAAUUAUGAUUCAAAGAUGAUAAAUCAAUACUUUUAUCAUCUUUAUCUUUAUGUUUACAGUUAGAUAUUAUUAUCAUGUGAAAGAGGAAUAGUAAUGAUAUUCAGAUGAUAUGACAGACGAAGAAGAAGAAGAAGAAAACAUGAAGAAGAUUCUUAUGAGAGGACACACAGAUGAUGAUUAUGAUAAAGAUGUCGGAUGAGAUGUAAACUCUCAUGUUAUUCACUAUCAAUUAGACCCCUUAAAUUGAGAUGAUCAACGGUUUUGAUUAUAUAUCAACAUCUCAUUUGCACAUCAGAUUUCCAGUGAUUUUUUGUUUUCCUGGUUUAACCUUUGAUUUUACUCCUUGACCUGGUCUCUAUUUUUUUCUGGAAACAAUGAUAAAUCAUUCAAGGUGAUCAGGAUCAUGAUGAUUGAGGAAAUUGUCACCUUGAAGUUCUAAAAACAGUUAUAUGCUUCUUCAUAUUCUUCUCACAAUUAAGACACCAUUUUAAGCAUUUCCAAAACUAAUUAGAUAAUUUGUUUAAUUACCAAAUCAAACAAAAGAAAACACAAAGACAAAUAUCAAUCAACUAAUUGUUUCUUUUGAUUGUUACACUAAACACCUAAUCAUAAUCUUAUGAGGACUUAAACCACACUCAAGAAACCAAGCCAAAAAACGUCCUCAUGUUCAAAUAACUUGAUUAUUGUUCAAGCCAAACAAUUGACUAUUUUGAGUUAAUUAAUUUCUCUAAUCAACAAAUACAUGUAUCAGCAAUAUUGCGAUGGCAAAAAGGAAGCAGUUAACCAACAAAUUAGAAUCAAUCUGAUGGACAAUUACAUUAAUCAACUGGAUAGGAAGUCAAUGGGAUUACCUGUGUAUUCAAGUCUUCAUCUCCCUCUUUUAGGCCUCUCACUGUCUUAAGAGAUUUGAUUAAUACUGUUGUUGUUGUUACUUAAUUACUGUGAAUUCACGUAACAUCUUUUAAUAAGUAUAAUAUUUAUCAACAACCAACACCUUUCAUUAUAGUUACAUUCAUUUGAAACAAUUUUCCCAUCACAAUCAAAUUACUAAACAUGAUUAUUAUUAUUUUAUAUUCUUAUUAUUUAGUGUAUAUAAUAUUUUCAUGUAAAGUUUUCAAAAUCUGAUUCACUUGGCUCUGUUCUUGAUGAUGAUGAUCAUCAUCAACAUCUAAAUUUACAUGAUGAUGACAAUGAUGACAUUUCUUGUGGUAGGAAUCAUGAAAGAUUGAUAAUUUAACCAGGAAGAUCAGCUAUUUCCACAUGAUUAACUAUUAUUAGAUUCAAAGUUCAUGUAUAUUCAUGAACAGGAAGACAUUGAGAUUACAUGUAAAUUCAAGGGAAACAAGAGAUGACCUUUUUUUCAUCCUCAUCUUCAUGUCUUUACAGAUCAUCAUCCUAUGUCUUUUUUUUUCUUGGAAAAGACAAUCAUCAUUUCAUUGCCAUCAUCAUCAUCAUCAUCAUCAUCAUCAUCAUCAUCCUUGUCAACAUAAAUACACAUUGGGAUUGAUUUAGCUGAUGAUUCACAUUGAUUGAUAUUAAAUCACUGUGAAACUUUUACGAUUCUCUCUCUCUCUCUCAACACAUGAAGGUUGGAAAAACAAACAAGAAAAACCAUGAGAAUAACUUUAAUUAUAAAAACUAAUUAUCGAUUGCGUGACUAUGAUAAACUCGAAGGCAAAAUGAUUUACAAAGCAAAAGGAAGAGGAAAAAUGUUGUUGACAGUUUUUAUAUCAUCAACAAGCGACAUUUAUAAGAUGAAAGGAUAAUAACGAUGAUAAUGAUUAAAAAUAAUCAUCCAACGAAUAUGGUGACAAUUAGAUAAUAGGAAACAAUUAAGAUUAACAUGAUCAACAGAUUAAUCAACGAUUUCCUCUCAGAUUACCUUAAUUUAAAAGGUGAAGAUAUCAUUGUGUUAAUUUUAUUUUCUAAUCAUCAUCUAUUAUAACGGUUAUCAUUUCUUUUCGACAAUUAUUUCAUCAACAUGAGGGAGAAAGAGAGAGAGAGAGAGAGAAAUAAAAAUAUAUUAUCAUCAUCACGCAACAAUCAAAAUAAAUGAAUAUAUGUUCAGAUAAAUCUAUUUAUCUUAACAAUUUAAGUAAAGCAAAAGUGCAUUUAUCUUGAUUGUUGUAAAAUUAUAUUAAAGUUUUGUUACAUUUGACACGACAAGUUUAAGGACAAACGGUAAAGUGACCUUUGGGUUAUGAAUGUUUAUAUCACAUGAAGGAUGAAGAUGAUGGAAACUCAUAAAUCUCAUAAAUCUCAAGGAUGAACUGGUGGUGAAAAUAAGGCCAAAUUAUUGUUACUUAAUCGACGAGAAAAUGACCUGAAAAACUGGAUCGCUUUGGUUCAUCGGGUUUUAUUAAUAAUAAUCACAGUUUUAUCAUCAUAAUCAUCUUGAUUGUCCUCCUAUUUAUCAUCAUCUUGCUCUAAUGACCAUUUGAUAUCUCACUUAUCAUCACAACAAUUGAUAACUUUUUUUGCUCACCUCAUUUUUCAUAUGAUUGGGAUUUCAUGUUAUCUUCAUCAUCAAUUGAUUACAAAUCAUCAUCAUCAUCAUCAUCAUAAACAGUUAUCAUCAUUAAUUUUAAUCUCAUCAGCUAAAAAAUUGAUUCAAUCUUAAGCUUGAUUGAACUUUCGUUUAUCCUUUAAUUGUAACUGUAAAAAUCUGUAACAAUUACACUAAUCAACUGAAACAAAACCU